UACGUAGGGCGCAAGCGUUAUCCGGAUUUAUUGGGCGUAAAGAGCUCGUAGGCGGUUUGUCGCGUCUGCCGUGAAAGUCCGGGGCUUAACCCCGGAUCUGCGGUGGGUACGGGCAGACUAGAGUGAUGUAGGGGAGACUGGAAUUCCUGGUGUAGCGGUGAAAUGCGCAGAUAUCAGGAGGAACACCGAUGGCGAAGGCAGGUCUCUGGGCAUUAACUGACGCUGAGGAGCGAAAGCAUGGGGAGCGAAC
rnacentral:rRNA from 2 species